rnacentral:misc_RNA from 1 species
GAAAUGCGAUAAGUAAUGUGAAUUGCAGAAUUCAGUGAAUCAUCGAAUCUUUGAACGCACAUUGCGCCCGCCAGUAUUCUGGCGGGCAUGCCUGUUCGGGCGUCAUUUCAUCCAUCAAGCCCCCGGCUUGUGUUGGGGACCUGCGGCUGCCCACAGGCCCUGAAAAACAGUGGCGGGCUCGCUGUCACACCGAGCGUAGUAGCAUACAUUCUCGCUCAGGGCGUGCUGCGGGUUCCGGCCGUUAAACGACCUUCAUAACCCAAGGUUGACCUCGGAUCAGGUAGGAAGACCCGCUGAACUUAAGC